rfam:Firmicutes bacterium CAG:124 genomic scaffold, scf201
GGGGCUGCACUGGUUUCGACGGGGGCAGUGAGGCUGGAUAAGCGGGCGGAGGCGCCUGGCCUCCAUAAAACGGGCAAUUUUUCCAAAUUAACUGACAACACUUACGUUGCUCAGGCUGCCUAAUUAGGCAGCCCGUCCUCCCCGGAAGGGCCACGAGCCGGGCUUGGGCGUGAUCUAGUGGCGUCCGUGAACGCAGUAAGCUUUGCCUGCGUCAUGCAUCAUGAAGCUACCAAGGCGCGUAGAGUGUCUGCUCCCGCCGCGCCGAGGGAAUGUAAAUAACAGACUGCGCCCGGAGAAAGUCCAGUCAAGUUGCUUUCGGACAGGGGUUCGAUUCCCCUCAGCUCCACCA